UUUCUGUCAAGAUGCAAAACAGCAUGAGAUCCUCAUGAAACUGAACGGAUGUCAGUAUUCAGCCUCAAGGACCACAAGCCAAAACCAAUGUUUUUUUCUUUAUGAAUCAUCUAGUGUCAAGUAUGCAGUGAUAGCAAUGGAAAAAUGGGUGAAGACAGGAAGUGAUGGGAUUAUUUUACUCCUAAACAUUAGCUCCAUUCAGUGUCCCUCUACUAAGGCUCUUGAAAUGGUAAGAAGCUUUGGCAGAAGUCAAUCAGGGGAAGGGAGUACAGAGUAAGAGAAGAAAAUGUGUACUUGUAGGGAAGACAGCCUUAUACAAAUUGAGAUUAGUGUUUCUAGGAUUUGGAUAUAAUUUGAAUGUUCCCCUAAAGCCUAUCUGUUAAAGUCUUUCUCCCCAGAGUAACAGUGUUGGGAGGUAUUGGGUCCUUUAAAAGGAGGAGCCUGCUGAAAGGAAGUUAGGUCACUGGGCCCUUAAAAAGGCUUAAGGUAGUUCUUACAUGACCCCUUGGUAUUUAAGAAAGGGUGGCUAUUUUAAAAAAAAUAAGCCUGCCUUUCUACUUUCUGCUUCCUAGUUUGAAAGUGGGUGGCUCGCUUCUGCACGUAUUCCAACCAUGAUGUAAAACCACACCAAGCCAGAUGGGCAGCCAAACCUUGAACUUGGAACCUCUAAAACUAAGCCAGGUAAACCUCUUUGCUUCAUAAGUAUCUCGCCUCCAGUAUCCUGUUAUAGUAAUGAAAAACUGACCAACACAAGGCUAGCAGGGUUGCCACCCCAUAAUGCUUUGCCAUUAGGGACUUGGGAAUAACACAACUGUGUUUCCAGAGAGGAGGGGUGCUGUCAUAAUGGUCUGGUGGAACAGUCGCAAGGUCAUCACCAGCUGAGUCAUGCUCAUUCUCUCUUUGCUUUUCUCGGCAAAAUGAGGGCAAUAAUAGGAUGCACUACACGAGAUGCUUGUGAGAAUUAAAAGAGAUGGGAAGUACCUCGCAGAGUUUCUGGCAGGUAAUCAGCACACAGUAAAUGUUACAAUUAUAGUAUUGGGUUUUUUUUAUUUCUAAAAAAAAAAAAAAAAAAAAAAGAAAUGUUCAACAUCCUUAGUCAUCAGGGAAAUGCGAAUCAAAACAACCUUGAGAUUUCACCUCACACCAGUGAGAAUGGCUAAGAUCAAAAACUCAGGUGACAGCAAAUGCUGGCGAGGAUGUGGAGAAAGAGGAACACUCUUCCAUUGUUGGUAGGAUUGCAGACUGGUACAACCAUGCUGGAAAUCAGUCUGGAGGUUCCUCAGAAAAUUGGACAUUGAACUACCUGAGGAUCCAGCUAUACCUCUCCUGGACAUACACCCAAAAGAUGCUCCAACACACACAAGGACACAUGUUCCACUAUGUUCACAGCAGCCUUUUUUAUAAUAGCCAGAAGCUGGAAAGAACCCAUAUGCCCUUCAACAGAGGAAUGGAUACAGAAAAUGUGGUACAUAUACAAAAUAUGUUGGUGGAAUUAGAAGAGGUAUUGAAAGAAUUGAAGGAGCUUGCAACCCCAUAAGAACAACAAUGCCAAACAACCAGAGCUCCCAGGGACUAAACCACUACCAAAAGAUUAUAUAUGGACUGACCCAGGGCUCCAACUGCAUAUGCAUCUGAGGAUGGCUUUUUUGUGCACCAAUGUGGAGGAGAAGCCCUUGUUCCUGCCAAGGCUGGACAACUUCAGUGUAGGGGAAUGUGUGUGAGGGGAGGGAGUGCAUGGGGAGGGGAACAAAAGAAAAAAAGAAAGGGAAACACAAUUAUCAGGGAAGGCAGAGCUAGGAAGCAGCCUGGGUGGGAGAAUAGAGGGAGAGGGUAAAAGUAGGGCAGGAUCAGGUAUGGGGGCAGAUAGGAGGGCCAGGAGAAUGAAUGGAAAUAUGCAGCUGCCAGGAUUGGGGCUGAAAGGCGCCUCUAGAAAGUUCUGGGAUAUGAGGGAGGCACUCAGAACUCAAUGAAGUUGAGUGUAAGUGAAAUGCCCAAUGUGGAGAUAUGGAACCUCAAGAGGCCACAUUCAGUCAUUAGACAGGACCUGCCUGUGGAGGGAUGGGGACAUCACCCCACCUUCAAUAUUGAACCCAAAAUUGUUCCUGCCAAAAAGAAAUGCAGGGAUAAAAUUUGAGUAGAGACUGAAGGAAUGGAGAAUGGUUGGCCACUGUGAUCCAUCCUAUGGGUGGACACCAAACCCUGACACUUUUAUUGAUGAUGCCAUAUUGUGCUUGCAGAGAGUCUAACAUGGCUGUCCUCUGAGAGGUUCUACCAGAAGCUGACUGAGACAGAUGCAGAUACUCAGCGUCAAGCACUGGACUGAGGUUGGGGACCCCUGUGGAAGAGUUAGGGGAAGGAUUGAAAGGGAAUAUAGGACACCAACUGUGCCAACUAACCAGGAACCCUGGGACCUCCCAGAGAAUAAGCUACCAACCAAAGAGCAUACGUCGCUGUUGGAGACCCCCAGAACAGAUGCAGUAGAAGACGCCUUUUCUGGCAUCAGUGAGAAAGGAUGUGCCUCAUCCUGCAGAGUCUUGAUGCACCAUGGUUGGGAUAAUUUUGGGGCUGGGGGUGGGUGCACCUGCUCAGAGCUGAAGGGGAGGGUGGAUGGUGUGAAGAACUUUGGGAGGGGGGACUAGGAGAGGGUUGAUAUUUGGGAUAUAAAUAAAUAAGUUAAUUAUUAAUAAAAAAAUCUAUCUAUCUGAGUGUCUGUGGUCACACACACAGUAAUACACUCCUGUAAUCCUAGUUACUUGGGGUUCAGUCAGGAGGACUACAAGCUCAAGGUUAUUUUUCCUGAAUAACUUAGUUAGACCCUGUCUCAAAGAAGACAGGGGAGGAAGACAGUGGUACAAUUCUGUAGUAAAGUACUUGUCUAGCAUGCACACACAAGGAAAGGCUCCAAGUUCAGUUCUUAAUACAGUAAAAUACACACAAAUUAUGGAUGCAUUGGUUUCUUACAGCUGCAGCAGCACACUAGCAGAAACUUAGUCACCACAAAUGGAUUAGCCAGAAGCCAGAAGACCUAUUUUUAAGUUUCUAUUUUCUAGCCCCCGCCCCCUUUUCCUUAGUCGUUCUGGUUGCCUUUUAUCUUCAAAGAUGAUAAUGGCCACUUGAUAGUCUCACCUGGUAUCAUUCUGACACCAAUCUCUUGUCCUCUUCCUCCUCUUCUUCCUCCUCCUUCUUAAUUCUGGACCCUGUUUUUUUUUUAAUAUUUUAUUUAUUUUUAAAUUUUAUUUUUCUUGGAUUCUUUAUGUAUUUACAUUUCAAAUGUCAUCCCUUUUCCCCCCUCUCCCAUAUCCCCUGCUUCUAUGAGGAUGCUCUCACUCCCAUCCUCCCACUCUCACCUCAAUACCCUGGCAUUCCCCUACAUUGGGGAAAGGAGCCUUCACAGGACUCACAGCUUCUCCUUCUAAAGAUGCCAGACAAUGACAUCCUUUGCUACAUAUUUGGCUGGAGUCAUGGAUCCCUCCCUGUGUCUUCUUUGGUUGGUGGUUUAGUCCCUGGGAAUUCUGGUGGGGUCUGGUUGGUUGAUAUUGUUGUUUUUCCUAUGGUGAGGCAAACCCCUUCAGCUCCUUCAGUCUUUUCUUUUAAAUCCUCCACUGGGGUCCUCUUGUUCAGUCCAAUGGUUAGCUGCAAGCAUCCUCAUCUAUAUCAGUAGGGCUCUGGCAGAGGCUCUCAGAGUACACCCAUAUCUGGCUCCUAUCAGCAAGCCCUUCUUGGCAUCAGCAAUAGUGACUGGGUUUGGUGGCUGCUUAUGGGAUGGAUCCCCAGGUGGGACCGUCUCUGAAUGGCCUUUUCUUGGGUCUCUGCUCCACUCUUUGUCCCUGUAUUUCCUCCUGUGAGAAUUUUGUUUUACCUUCUAAGAAGGACUGAAGUGUCUACAUUUUGUCUUCCUUCUUCUAGAGCUUCAUGUGGUCUGUGACUUUUUUCUUAGGUAUUCCAAGUGUUUGGGCUCAUAUUCACUUAUCAGUGAGUUCAUACCAUGUGUGUUCUUUUGUGACUGGGUUAUCUCACUUAGGAUGAUAUUUUCUAAUUCCAUCCAUUUGCCUAAGAAUUUCAUGUAGUCAUUGUUUUUAAUAGUAGAGUAGUACUCCAUUGUGUAGAUGUACCACGUUUUCUGUAUCCAUUCCUCUGUUGAAGGACAUCUGGGUUCUUUCCAGCUUCUGGCUAUUAUAAAUAAGAGUUCUCUUUUGCUGUGUUAAAACAAAAAUGUUUUUGGGGUUGGGGAUUUAGCUCAGUGGUAGAGUGCUUGCCUAGUAAGCGCAAGGCCCUGGGUUCGGUUCUCAGCUCCAAAAAAAAUGUUUUCUUGGAGGGCUGUGGGGAGAGGGUGGGAGUUGUUUUAAAAGAACCUGAGACUAGAAUGGUAGUUUCUGAAAGCAUGACUUUUAAAUUUAAAAUAACUCCCCCGUUUGCCUCAUAGGGUAGGCAGAGGGAUGCAGUGUGUGCAUGAAUGGCAUGGCAUGCAGAUGUGGGAUGAAGACAAUGGAAAGAAGAAUUUGCUCCUUAAUCCCAUCAUGUGGGAUGCCGGGUCUGAAAUAAGGUCGAAGGUUCAGUAGCAGGAGCCUUUAUCAACUGCACCAUGGCCCUGGCCACAAAUGUCUGCAUUUUGAGAAUGAUAUCUUGGAUGCAUACAGGUCUGUCUUCUCUGUUUACUGACUUAGAGAUUCUGUUAAAGCCACAGGAAAUUUAAAGUAAGGGAAGCACAUACUAUACCUUUUUGGUAAUAUUUAGAUAAUAACUGUUAAUGCUUAGAUGUUUGUAAAUAUAUGACACUUUACAUUCAUUUGUAAAUUAGACUAUUUCUAAGAGUGGCAAUUCCUUUCUUUUUAUGGUUACUAUGAUUCCUUAUUGAUAAUUUUCAAAGUAAUAAGUUGAACCCUUGCUAUUUUCCUGUGAAUAAUGUGAAUUCAUGUAUCUUAACAUAUUUGCUGGCCUCAAAUACAACAAAGAGUAGUUGCUCACCCCCUUGUAGCUCAUAGAGGCCAGCACUGGAUAAGGCCCCUGAUAUCUUGUCUCCUAGAGGAGACUACAUAGCACCAUCUAGCACUAGCUGGAUGUGAGUGUCCUGGUUAACUUAAAACUGACUUCUCUCUGUCCUGCAUCCAAAGAUGUAGGGUCUUCAGCCACAGGGUUUUACCAUUUUACUAGGGUGGGCACCCAAGAGAAAUGGAGUUAGUCUGUACAGUAACUCAGAGGGAAGUGCCCUGUCCCUGGGACUGAGGUUUUAAUGUAAUAACCCAUGUCUUCUGGUAGAGCACUGUACACUAAGUAGAAUGCUUCUGUUCAAACUCCCUUUUAAAAAUAUAUUUCUAGUUAGCUCACAAAUAGCAGACUUUUAUAAGGCUUCUAUCUCUAGGUUUGCUUUGUCCACCCUCUACUUCUUUCCCCCACCUCUGCUUUAACUUUUAGAUUCCAGUAUUCUCUCCCUGUUCUUUCAUAUCAUGUGUUUUACUAUUCCUAGUGUUGUGUAGCCAUUUUCUCCAGGAUUAAAACCUCCCAUUUUGGAGGGAAGCCUGGCCUGUUAAGGGGAAAUGAGACAACAGAUGUUGCUAAGGGAAGGUGAAAAAAGCCAUACUACAAAGAACCUUCUUAAAGAUAAAGAAUGUAAAAAGGAAGGUGAGAUAACAGGGCAUUCCAAGGGAGGUCAGAUAUUCCAUUCUAAGGGACCUUAAGCUCAGGAAGUAAAGAACUCAAUACUUUCAGGAAGUCACUGAAACUGACUUGAUUAACCGGGCCCCUCCCUCUCCACGGAUAUGGAAGCAGUAAGGACCACUGAGAGAAGCUGAAAGACCCCCGCCAAGCUGCCUGGAAGAAGCAUGAUACAAGUCAAGCUGCCCAAAAGAAGCAAACAACAACCAGCCUCCUCAGAAGGACACUCUCCAACAUGAUGACUUCUUUGUAGUCUAUGCAAUGUGCUUCAGGUUUUCAGGUUUCAUGAGCUGUCACCCAUGUUGGAGUGGGCAUUCAGUGAUACAGAUGGCUUUGAGUCAUUUCUGCUCCUGUAAAUAACCCCUCACCCAUACUUGUUGUAUAAGCAGUACCAAUAAGUAGCACUCGCUGGUCCAUUAACUUAGGCUUUGGUAAUUUCUGCCCUUUGGUCUAUCACUGGUUCCCUAUCUUAGAUAAGUAAAUGUUUCCUCAUUUACCCCAGAAAUGGUGUCAUAUGCUAUCUCUCACUGUAUUUUGUUGUUUUUGUUUUUAAACUUGGACUUCAAGAUCAGAAGUUCACAAGUAGGAAUGAAUCUAUGCUACAAUAAACACGAGCAGAAUCCACAGCUAGAGAAGUCAGAGCCCUAAAUAGAAUCUCUUGAUUUUGUUUUUCUAAAUGGUCAUGUUGUUAAAAUGCCUUCUAAAUAUUUGUUUAUAUUUAUAGAUUUGUGCUGUUCCCAGCUGUGGUCAUUGACGCUUCUUAGUGAAGUCGGUGGCAGGUAAUGUAGAGAUUCAUUACUAGUCAAAGUGAAGCAAACAAGUAACCCAGAGUGCCCAGUCAUCGAUGGGUCAUCAAUAUCAGCCCCUCCUACUACUUCUCAGAAGCACAGACACAUUUCAAAGUUGGGCACUAAGGAAUAUAAGAGCUGGAAGAUAAGGAGUGCUAUGAAAUGUUGUCCCCCGGACACAGCAUUACUAUUGCACAUGGGAACCCACAGCAGGGACUGUCUUCCUACACAGGAUCUGUGAAAGACUGUCAGAAUCAUCUGCUUCUUCAAUGGAAAGGCCUGAUGAUGCCAAGGCCACCUUUAAGAUUCUGUCUUAGAACAGCAUAGAGGAAGAGGAGAAAAUUAAGAAGAGGAGGAGGAAGAAGAAGGAAGAAGAGGAGUAUGCCUCAUUAAGGCUACAUGCCUGGUAACUGAGGAGUACAGAAGAGGGAGUCAGUGAGUUUCCAUAUAACUCCUGGGAAUUGAACCCUGCUCCUCUGGAAGAGCAAUUCCCAGUGAGAAAGGGGUCACAAUGAUGAUCGUCAGUCGGUAUGAGCCAACUGAUCAGCUGUUCUGGAUCAUCACUGAAACAACGAAAGAAGGUGGCUUUGGAUUCCCUAGGAUUGUUGUGAACCAUUAUAUGGGUGCUGGAAAUCGAAUCUGGGUCCUUUGAAAGAACAACCAGUGCUUGUAACCACCGAGCCCUAUCUCCAGCUCUAAGACCUUCAUUCUUAACUACAGUAUCUCAUUACAUCUUUCCAACAACUCUCAAAGGGUAAGUGUCAUAUAGCUUACAAGGAGGACCAGCAGUCUCAAUUAACCUGGACCCGAGAUCUCUCAGACACUGGAUCACCAAUCAGACAGCAUACACCAACUGCAAUGAGGCCCCCAACAUGUAUACAGCAGAGGACUCUUGGAUCUGGGUUGAAUCAGAGAAGAUGCACCUAACCCUCAAGCGACUGGAGGCCCCAGGAAGUUUAGAGGUCUGGUGGGGUGGGGACAUCCUUGUGGAGAGUGGAGUGGGGGGUUAGGGGGAGGUAUGGGAUGUGGAACAAUUGGAGGGUGGACCAGGAGGGAAUAAAAUCUGGAGUGUAAAAAUAAAUAAAUAAAUGUAUGUAUGUAUGUAUGUAUGUAUGUAUGUAUGUAUGUAUGUAUGUAAGUAAGUAAGUAAGUCUGUUUGGAGUUCAGGCAAGAUAAAUAGUGUGGGAACUACAAGUCCUAGUUCUCAGCUAGGAUUUGUGGAUGGCUAAAAUAUGGAUGAUUAAAAAAAAAAGUAACUAAGUUUUAUACCUAGAUUGAGAGUAAAGCCAUUUAUUGCAAGCAAGCAAGCAAGCAAGCAAGCAAGCAAACAAACAAACAAACAAACAACAAAACCCAAAAAACUAGCUCUCAAAGGUGAGAGAGACUCUGAGGAUGCAAAGCAGGGGAUCUUAGAUAAAAUGCCCAACAGUGGGGAGAGGGAAAUUUUAGAGUCCACCUCCAGUAGAAAGACAAGGCAUCAAGUGGAGGGAUGGGAUGGCCAUCCCACAAUCAGAAACUCUGACCUAGAUUCAUUCCUGUCUAAAAGAAAUGCAGGGACAAAAAUGGAGAAGAGACUGAGAAAAAGGAGGUCCAGUGAUGAUGCUAUGAUGUACUUACAAACAGGAGUCUAGCAUGGCUGCCUUCCAAGAGGCCCAACAAGCAGCUGACUGAGACACAUGAAGAUACUUACACCCAACCAAUGAACUGAAGUCAGGGACCCCUGUGCUUGAAUUAGGGAAAGGCUGAAAGAAGUUGAGGAGGAGGGCAACCCCAUAGAAAGAUCAGCAGCUUCAACUCACCUGAAUCCCCGAGAUAUUCCAGACACUGGGCCACCAACCAGGCAGCAUAUACUAGCUGGUAAGAGCCUCCCACCCUGCCCAACACACACACAUAUACAUAGCAGAGGACUGCUUGGUCUGGCCUCCUGAGGGAAGAUGCACCUAACCCUGGAGAGACUUGAGGUCCCAGGGAGUGGGAAGGCCUGGAAGGAUGGGGGUGGAGUGGGGAGAGGGGCCAUGCUCUUGGAGAUGGUGGAAGAGGAAUGGGAUAAGGAACUGUAGGAGGGUGGACCAGGAAGGGAAUAAGGACUAAACUGUAAAAAAAAAGGUUAAAGAUAAUUAAAAAUUUUUAAAAAUAUGUGCUGAUGAAGAAAUUUAAAAUGAAAACCUUUAAUAUUUAUUAUUGGAUUUACAAUAUAAGGUGAACACACAAAGCAAGUAUGAUAUGAGAAUCAGUUUGAUAAAACACUGGUAAUAUAUUCACCAUUUUAAUUCUUUCAGAAUGUAUACUAAAUAUCACUUAGAAGUAAGUUAAACUGAAAUAUCAAUAACAAACUAAUAUAUAAAUAUUCAAAUAAGUUAAACAUUUAAACUUCUGUAUUUUAUUAGAUCAAAAUAACUUUUCUUACAAAUUUGAACAGUAGUAUUUGACAUUACAGCCUAUGAAAAUAAAAUGUAUAAAGACAUUGACAUUAUAGUUGUACUUUGUGCAUUCAUGUGGAUUAUAAUUGUGAAUAAAUAUAAUGCUAAGAAAAUAGUACAAACAUUUGAGCUCUUCAGGGUUUUUGCCUAUCACAAUGACUACUGCUUACCACGAGAGGGAAACAAAUGUCAAAGGAUAGGAAAGGACUCAGAGCCUGCCUUGCAUAUUUUAUGAUGUUAUAUAGAAUACUAUAUAUUAAGUAAUUAUGUAAGUAUUAAUACAUUUAUAAGUGAAAAAACUAGCUCUCUAUAUGUAUAUGUGUAAAGGGUGAACAAUAUAAAGGGAGCAAUGGGAGUUGGGGAUUUAGCUCAGCGGUAGAGCGCUUGACUAGCAAGCGCAAGGCCCUGGGUUCAGUCCCCAGCUCCGAAAAAAAAAAAAAAAAAAAAA